UGAUGGUUCCCAGCAAGAUGGGGGGCGGAGUAACAGCUCUUCCGCCCGCUUGAGCUGGUGUCUGGAACCCCGCGCUGUUCAGGGGCCGGCCGGCACCGCGGGGUUGCUCAUUUUCUUCACAGCCCCCAGGACGGAACAGAGCCGGUGGAGACAGGGCCGCGCGGGGGCGGGGAUCAGUCUCUCUCCCGGGGACACAGAUGCAACAGCAGCCGCCUUAUAGUCCUAGUUGGGGGAGAGGGAGACACAUCUAAUCAGAGGCAUUUCCAGCUACCUGCCUGUGAACUGGUCAAGUGUCAACACAGGCAAAGUUAAAACUGAUUUUUUUUCAACACCGUAAAUUACUUCUCCAGCUAGCCACUUCUAGUGCAGGAAAGGACAGGCUAGUAAUGAUUUAACUCAGCUAUGAUGACUCAACCAUCGAGUUAUAGCAUAAACUAGCUAAUUCCUCUUUAACAUAGUGUUAGACUGAGAUGUUAAAUGCACACACAAGUGAGAUUAUUUCAGUUUGUCAGGAAGAAGCCUAAAACUAUCGGAAGGGCUCCUGUAGUACCAAGGAGCAAUUGAGGACAUAGAGAGAACAAAGGAGCUAAAUCACUUCCUUGCAUCAGUUUUCAAAGGAUAAAGGGACUAUAAGGAAUCCAGGAGUACUAGAAUGAGAUGCAAUAUACAAUCAGAUUAGAAAUUGACUAAGAAACAAAAGUCACAGGUAGAAGUAAAAGGUGCAUGAGGAAGGCAGUGAAGUAUAAUGAAAUUCAGAACUGAGAGGAGGAAAGGAUAUUCACCUUCUUCCCACAUAUUUUCUUUUGGAAUGGAAGUUGAG